AGACAGACUCCCUCUCCCCCACCUCGCUCGCUCGCUCGUUGUGGCGCUGCAGGCUGGGGGAAUAAACCAGAUUUAUGGUGCUGGAGUCUCAUUCUGGAGGUGAUUUCUAGGUUCUUUCCAUCUCAGCUGAAUGAAACAAGCAAAAACGGUGGCAAAAAGUUUCACAUUUCAGGACAAAGUCCGAAACAGCAUAUUAGCAUUUAAGGCAACCAGGACAACAAGGAACAUAGAAGCCAACAAAGAGACAAGAAGAUAUUUUCCCUAAACAUGUGAUUUGACCCUCAUAUAUUAAACACCUAAGCCACAUCUGUUUUCUUUCAAAUUGUGCAGCAUCUGCUGAUGGUCACAACACUGACCCCUUGGAGCCAGAACUCAGGUGAAAUGAACAUUGGACCCAGAGUCCUUGGUACUUCAACUGGCAUCGUGUACUUCAACUGCUCCAGUCCUGAAAUUAACUAUUUCUUCCAAAGAGGUCUUACUCCUUUUAGUGUGAUUAUUUAUUUGCAGUGCUGGCAUGGUGGGAGGUUAGAGUAUGGCAACGUGGCUGCAGCAGUUGGGCACAACUUACCAACUGAGAAGACUUAAUAACCACCAGUUAGUAACAGCAGCGCCUAAGCCUGUCGUGGGAUCAAGCCAAGCUCUGCACCUGGUACCAUCUUCUGAUGAGAGAAUGUUCCAGACCUGGCACUGAUUUCACUGUUCCAGCACAAGAACAAGCGGGACCACUUGGAUCACUAUCAAAGAAGACAUGAAAGGAGGGCAGCAAUCCACUGUGCACCACGGGCUUCUCGUUCUUGCUGUGGUCCACUCUGCUUGCAGGACAUUAUCUUCUAGCCUUUGUUCAAAGCACCUUUUUCUCCUUCAGCACUUCUUUUAUGCUUCUUUUUCUUUUUACCUUCUGUUUCUGCCCUAAAAUAAAUGGUCGUCUUUCACAUCUGUCAAUUAUCCCGACCAAUCGAUCGAUCAGGACAAAUAAGAACGUGGAAAACUGCCGGUCCCGCCCAACCUGAUAACACUGGGAACUGGACCCAGGGCCUCAUACAUACUAAACAGGUGGCGAGCUGGGUGUAGCAAGCUGAUCAUACUUUACCUAUCCCUGUUCUGAAGAAUGCCCUCGGAUAGAGGGGCUGACGAAGGCAUACGAAACUGGACUGGGUGCCCCCAUAUCUCCGAGAGCCUGAAACCUGGAUGGAGAAGACGCAGUUGCCGACCGCAGGAUGGCUGAGUGUUCGCAGGUCCAGGCCAGAGUGUUCCACAGACGCGAGGCCAGCAGGAAACAACCCUCUGACCCACAGGCACGCAGCAGUCAAGGCUGGUCCAUGAGCGCUUGGUGAUCCACCAGGAGGUCCACAGUGAGCUAGCUAGUCACCUACACCAGGCUGGGAAUGCAAGGUUGCUGCGGGACCAGUCACUGGAACUACCUGACACCACCAAGCUCUUCACCCGCCUCCACCUACGACACUGCAUAAGGCUCGGACUCUAUCACAAAGUAAAAGCAAAAUACAGCGUCCUAGAACCAGAAGUUGCCCCUUCCCUCCUGCAAUAUUUCUCCAGCGCCCUCUACCGACAAAGCUUAAUAUCGCGCUCUCUGUUAACAAAUGCUUAGAAUCCAGUCCUUUACCGUGGCGCAGAUAUUGAAGGAUAGAUUUAUUUGAAGCUGAGAGGCUCCCGGGGUAAAUUCACGAAAGAUGGAUUUGUGAACCUGAGUAAAUAAAUAUUUUUCUAUAGUUGAAUUAAUUAU